rnacentral:rRNA from 1 species
ACUAAAUAGAUACCCUGGUAGUCCACGCCGUAAACGAUGGAUGCUAGCUGUGGGGGGUAUCGACCCCCUCCGUAGCGAAAGCUAAACGCGUUAAGCAUCCCGCCUGUGGAGUACGGCCGCAAGGCUAAAACAUAAAGGAAUUGACGGGGACCCGCACAAGCGGUGGAGCGUGUUCUUUAAUUCGAUGAUAAACGAAGAACCUUACCAAGGCUUGACAUCCCGAGAAUUACUCCGAAAGGAGUGAGUGCUUUAUUGAACUCGGUGACAGAUCUUGCAUGGCCGUCGUCAGCUCGUGUCGUGAGAUGUUUGGUUAAGU